ACGCUGGCGGCGUGCUUAACACAUGCAAGUCGAACGAUGAAGCCUAGCUUGCUAGGUGGAUUAGUGGCGAACGGGUGAGUAAUACGUGAGUAACCUACCUUUAACUCUGGGAUAAGCCUGGGAAACUGGGUCUAAUACCGGAUACGACCAAUCUCCGCAUGGGGUGUUGGUGGAAAGCGUUAUGUAGUGGUUAUAGAUGGGCUCACGGCCUAUCAGCUUGUUGGUGAGGUAACGGCUCACCAAGGCGACGACGGGUAGCCGGCCUGAGAGGGUGACCGGCCACACUGGGACUGAGACACGGCCCAGACUCCUACGGGAGGCAGCAGUGGGGAAUAUUGCACAAUGGGCGCAAGCCUGAUGCAGCGACGCCGCGUGAGGGAUGACGGCCUUCGGGUUGUAAACCUCUGUUAGCAGGGAAGAAGAGAGAUUGACGGUACCUGCAGAGAAAGCGCCGGCUAACUACGUGCCAGCAGCCGCGAUAAUACGUAGGGCGCGAGCGUUGUCCGGAAUUAUUGGGCGUAAAGAGCUUGUAGGCGGUUUGUCGCGUCUGCUGUGAAAGGCCGGAGCUUAACUCCGUGUAUUGCAGUGGGUACGGGCAGACUAGAGUGCAGUAGGGGAGACUGGAAUUCCUGGUGUAGCGGUGGAAUGCGCAGAUAUCAGGAGGAACACCGAUGGCGAAGGCAGGUCUCUGGGCUGUAACUGACGCUGAGAAGCGAAAGCAUGGGGAGCGAACAGGAUUAGAUACCCUGGUAGUCCAUGCCGUAAACGUUGGGCACUAGGCGUGGGGAACAUUCCACGUUUUCCGCGCCGUAGCUAACGCAUUAAGUGCCCCGCCUGGGGAGUACGGCCGCAAGGCUAAAACUCAAAGAAAUUGACGGGGGCCCGCACAAGCGGCGGAGCAUGCGGAU
rnacentral:rRNA from 1 species